GUAGGGUGCGAGCGUUGUCCGGAAUUAUUGGGCGUAAAGAGCUUGUAGGCGGUUUGUCGCGUCUGCUGUGAAAAUCCGGGGCUCAACCCCGGACUUGCAGUGGGUACGGGCAGGCUAGAGUGUGGUAGGGGAGACUGGAAUUCCUGGUGUAGCGGUGAAAUGCGCAGAUAUCAGGAGGAACACCGAUGGCGAAGGCAGGUCUCUGGGCCACUACUGACGCUGAGAAGCGAAAGCAUGGGGAGCGAACAGGAUUAGAUACCCUGGUAGUCCAUGCCGUAAACGUUGGGAACUAGGUGUGGGUCUCAUUCCACGAGAUCCGUACCGCAGCUAACGCAUUAAGUUCCCCGCCUGGGGAGUACGGCCGCAAGGCUA
rnacentral:rRNA from 1 species